rnacentral:rRNA from 1 species
UACGAAGGGGGCUAGCGUUGCUCGGAAUCACUGGGCGUAAAGCGCACGUAGGCGGAUUGCUAAGUCAGGGGUGAAAUCCUGGAGCUCAACUCCAGAACUGCCUUUGAUACUGGCGACCUUGAGUCCGGGAGAGGUGAGUGGAACUGCGAGUGUAGAGGUGAAAUUCGUAGAUAUUCGCAAGAACACCAGUGGCGAAGGCGGCUCACUGGCCCGGUACUGACGCUGAGGUGCGAAAGCGUGGGGAGCAAACAGGAUUAAGAUACCCG